UAAGAACGAAAGCGUCGUGGAGAUCUCGGAUUCUGUGCCGAUUUGCCACUCCAACCUCGCUCUCCUGCCUCCUCUCGAGAUCUCGCUCAUCAUGAUUGAGGAGCAUUAUGUGGCUCAAGGUCUGAGUGUUGUCGGAUAUUUUCUCACUAACGAAAGGUUUGAUGAUCUGGAGCUCUGUGGCAUUGCAAAGAACAUCGAUGAUCAUAUUUCUCGCUAUUUUCCCCACGCCUCAAUUCUCUUGGUGAAUAUUCCCCCUUUCUUCGAAAGUGUUGUGGCUUUCUUAGAGCCCUGUGAUGCAGGGAUGCUUCCAAGCACUGGAGAUUGGUAGGAGUAGUAAUGGAAGGACGUCACAGAUUCGGUGAUCACCUUGACAACACCACCAAGUAAGUGAGACAACAUUGUACUGUACACUCGGAAUCAGAAACAGGCAUCCAUAGUGUUCGAGAUGUUCAUUUCUGUUUUGGAUACUCGAAAAGUAAUUAUGUGACUUAAUUGUAGGGACUGGCUCAAACCUGAACUUUUCAACUGAAGAUGGGCUUAGCUAUUUAUAGACUUUUGCUUUUCAUCGUCUUCGACAACACAAGUUUUUAGAGUUUGUUCUUUGCAAUACUUGGAAUCUUGUUCAAGUAUUGUGCUGCCACACAAACAAAGCAUAAGAACUUGAAAUUUAGAUGGGAGGAAAUUGAAAUUGAGAGCCUAAUCUAUUCACAUGCUUUCAUGUUUCUUAUUUUUGCAAAUGUUCUCCAAUGUUCUCCGCAAUACAUUGACCUUCUGAU